GUGGCAGGUGAGAAUGGAAAACAUUCAUAGCAUGUACAACAGUAAUGGCUAUUCCUAUUGUGACCCAGUGUCUGCGCUUGAGAACCUGUACAGAUCCCUCCUUCCAAGAGUAAGCAAGGACUGCUGGGAGUUGCUCUCAGACAAGCUGCUAAGAAGAUUCUCAAAGCAGUGGAGGGGCCUGGAAGCAGUCUGGACCAAACAAGUCACUUGGAAAGGAUACUUUUGAGCUGCCUGAAAAGUCUUGUCACAAAACACACGCAUGUGCACAUGGAGACUGAAAGACAACCUCAGGAGACAUCCACCUUGUUUUCUAAGACAGAGUGUCUACUAGUCUGGAUCUAGGAAGCAGACUAGGCUGGCUAGCCAGUGUUGCUAGGGCCGGUCUUUUCUCUGCUUCCCCAGCACUGAGAUUACAGGUGUAUCCCUCACGUCCAGAUUUCUAUGUGGAUUCUGAAGAUCCAGCUCAGGUCCUCAUGCUCGCAGAACAAGAAUGUUAGGACUUGAGCUAUCUCCACUGUCCCACCCUUGGUGUGGGACAAUUGUCCAUAUUUGUCAAUUAUAUUUUAAAUAAAUGCUGAUUGG